rnacentral:rRNA from 1 species
UGUAAGCGUAUACCAAAGUUGUUGCAGUUAAAACGCUCGUAGUCGGAAUUUGGCAGUUCCGGAUGUGUGCACGUCGUGUGCGCACUUCGCGGGGACUGCUUUUGUGGUCUUGCGUAGGAUGAGGCACUUUUAUUAGUGAACGUCCUCACGCAACCACUUUUUACUGUGAGAAAAUCAGAGUGCUCAAAGCAGGCAUUUGCCGUGAAUGUAUUAGCAUGGAAUAAUAGAAUAGGACUUGGUUCUAUUUUGUUGGUUUGUUGGGACUGAGUAAUGAUUAAGAGGGACAGUUGGGGGCAUUUGUAUUUCGGUGCUAGAGGUGAAAUUCUUAGAUUACCGAAAGACAAACUGCUGCGAAAGCGUCUGCCAAGGAUGUUUUCAUUGA